rnacentral:rRNA from 1 species
GACGAACGCUGGCGGCGUGCUUAACACAUGCAAGUCGAACGGAAAGGCCCUGCUUUUGUGGGGUGCUCGAGUGGCGAACGGGUGAGUAACACGUGAGUAACCUGCCCUUGACUUUGUGAUAACUUCAGGAAACUGGGGCUAAUACCGGAUAGGAGCUCCUGCUGCAUGGUGGGGGUUGGAAAUUUUCGGCGGUUGGGGAUGGACUCGCGGCUUAUCAGCUUGUUGGUGGGGUAGUGGCUUACCAAGGCUUUGACGGGUAGCCGGCCUGAGAGGGUGACCGGCCACAUUGGGACUGAGAUACGGCCCAGACUCCUACGGGAGGCAGCAGUGGGGAAUAUUGCACAAUGGGCGGAAGCCUGAUGCGGCAACGCCGCGUGCGGGAUGACGGCCUUCGGGUUGUGAACCGCUUUCGCCUGUGACGAAGCGUGAGUGACGGUAAUGGGUAAAGAAGCACCGGCUAACUACGUG